rnacentral:rRNA from 1 species
GUGGGUAACCUGCCUUAUAGUGGGGGAUAGCCUUUCGAAAGGAAGAUUAAUACCGCAUAAGAUUGUAGUAUCGCAUGAUAUAGCAAUUAAAGGAGCAAUUCGCUAUAAGAUGGACCCGCGUCGCAUUAGCUAGUUGGUGAGGUAAUGGCUCACCAAGGCGACGAUGCGUAGCUGACCUGAGAGGGUGAUCGGCCACAUUGGGACUGAGACACGGCCCAGACUCCUACGGGAGGCAGCAUG